rnacentral:lncRNA from 1 species
GCGCCAAUUUGGUUUAGAAAAAUGAGUUUUCACCCUUAUCCCAAAGAUUGUGUCAACGCCACCUUUUAACUUGCUGGAUUGAUUGAAGCUUCUUUACCUCUUCUUUCAGAUUUUCGAAGCAUCUUGAAUCAAUAUGUCACAUAAUUAGGAAGGAUCAUCCAACGUGUCCAUGUGUGUGAUUUUAAAGUAUAGAAAUUAGCAAUUAGAAGAGAUUUUAUACGAAAUAAAAUAGAGUAUAGGAUACAAUACUUCGACGAUGAACUUAAUAUUUUUAAAUGUCAUGUGAUUCACAGCCAAAUAAGCUUCAUUUAUCCAAUUCACUAUGUUGUUCCUCC